rnacentral:lncRNA from 1 species
CUCGGUGGCCGCGGCCAGCCUCGCAGGUGUCUCUAGAGCUUUGGGCCCCCGCGUCCCAACGAGCCCCCGAGCGGCCCGGGGUCUGCCCAGCAACUCCCGAACCCUCAGCGCCCGCUCCAGUCCGGAGAGACCCGCUGGCUGUCGCGGUCCCAGGAGUCGCGACUUUCUGGGGUCCCGGGCUGGGGGGGGAGGAGGAAUUCUGCUCAGACUCUGCAGCAGUUGGUAGCAAGAAAGCUUUCUCCUUGGUGUCUCCUGGAAAAGUUGCAAAAUUGCUCUUCACCUGUAAGAACAUGCUCUUUAUUCUCCAGUCUCUUCUUGUCAAUUCGGAAAUUGCAGACAGCCCGGCUCAGAAGAGAAGGCUUGUACUCUGAGAGAAGACUCCUGUAGCAGAGAUGGACUUACCUCUGGCUCUGGCUGCAGAUACUGAACUUCUCACACCACCAGUGCAUGGAUGCCCUUGGCACUGCCCUUGUUGCUUUGGCUGGGCCACAGGUAACUUUCCAAUAUCCUAGCUGGGGCCAAAUACCCAGACUGCCCCCAAACCUCUUU